AAUAGUUGUCUGCCACACCUAUUCAUCACUUCCCCCUGUCUUUUAUCCCUAGAGAUAGGGUGGGGCCUCGCUAGCAGCAGUGGCUCUUCCUUCCCCAGGAUCGGCCCAUGGUUUUCCACUGCUUUCCUUUUCUCUGCCUUCUGUGCAGCUGCACGUCAGGCACUGGAUUCAGUUGUCACUCCCACAUCAGAUCUCUCUCUCUCUCUCUCUC